CCCAUCGGACCUGGAGACGGUCAACCAGCUCAUCCAGUCAUGCUGCAGCCACAACCCGGACGACAGGCUGGAUUUCAAAGAGUGUGGAGAUCGACUCAGUGACGUAACCGGUCGGUACGAGUUGGUCCACUUCCUGAAGGCCGUCAUCUACUUGCAGAAGGAAAUGGCUCGUAGAAAGUGACUCCCCAGUAUAUGGGUAGCUGACACUGGGUUUGAAGAAGUACAUGCA